AUGUCCAGAUCUAGCCUUCAAGGCCGAUGGGUGCCUUCCUCCAUCACGGAAGAAGACAUCAAAAAGUUGAGGGAGGCCAGAUAUCUGACCGCCAAGAUUUUGCAUCAGCUGCCUCCCCGGGGGCAGGCCGUCCCCUCCCCCGAACCCAACGAGAGCGUCGUGUUCGUCUCCCACUUCCUCCGAGGUCUAGGCCUUGCUCUGGAUCCUUUCGUCAGGGGCUUGAUGUUUUAUUACGGGCUAGAUUUCCAUGAGCUAGCUCCGGACUCCUUUCUUCAUAUCACGACAUUUAUUGUCGUGCGCGAGACCUUCCUCCGGGUUACCCCUCACUUUGGCCUAUGGCUCAAGACCUUUGAAGUAAAGCCGAAGAUGAUCGAGGGGCAACAUGCGGCGUGUGGAGGUACCUCAAUACGCAAGAUGACGCGAGAUUCAUGGCCCAAAGGUUCCAUUCCAGAGGUGUCUGAAUUGUGGCAACAGGAGUGGUUCUACAUCACGGCCCUAGAAGUGCCAAGUGGGCGGCCGCCCCCGUUUUCCGCUCGGGCCCUCCACCACAACUGA
rnacentral:rRNA from 1 species